rnacentral:rRNA from 1 species
AUUGAACGCUGGCGGCAGGCUUAACACAUGCAAGUCGAGCGAGCGGCGGACGGGUGUGUAAUGUCUGGGAAACUGCCUGAUGGAGGGGGAUCUCUACUGGAAACGGUAGCUAAUACCGCAUUCCAUCAGAUGUGCCCUCAUGGGUUUAGCUAGGAGGUGGGGUAAUGGCCCACCAAGGCCACGAUCCCUAGCUGGUCUGAGAGGAAGACCAGGCACACUGGAACGGAGACACGGCCCAGACACCAACUGGAGGCAGCAGUGGGGAAUAUUGCACAAUGGGCGCAAGCCUGAUGCAGGCAUGCCGCGUGUGUGAAGAAGGCCUUCUGGUUGUAAAGAACUUUCAGCGAGGAGGCGUUACUCGCAGGAGAAGCACCGGCUGACUCCGUGCCAGCAGCCGCGGUAAUAC